rnacentral:lncRNA from 1 species
AGCUUAGUUCUUUGGAGAAGCAGUGUGGAGUCCUAAAAAAGGAGGCUGAGUCUUACCGUUGAGGUCGGUGCCGGUAGAGAAUGGGAGGGAGUCUGCAGGAGCCAAGCACCCUAAAGAAGAGGAAGAGAGCACGUUGCUGAGAUUUGAACAGCGACCUGAGAGGUCAGACUGGACCCAGGCCUCCUCAAGGUUUUUAGGUUUUUGCCUGUUGCUCUUAGGGAUCCAGGGGCAGAGUUUUGCCUUAGGUGCUGAAGCUGCUGGAGCCUGUUGCUUUUUCACACCACAGAUACUUCAUGCUGCCUAAUAUUCUACCGAGCCAGCCUAGGGGACUUGGAUCUGUCUCGCCUGGGGCUAAGAGAAUAGUUUCUCUAAGAAGAAAACAGUUCUAAUUCAAAGAUGCUGGAUCUGGCUUCCUUUAAAGCCUGAAGUCGCUGAAGUGGCCAUAGAACUAUGGGGUCCAGAGGACUGCCAGUCUCAGCCAGCCUUUAGGCUGGAGAGAGGCUGUGGGCCUGCUUGGGGACUAAAAUGGAUGAAUAAGAAACCUGUAAGAAAUGUAAACAGAUGGAAUGGCAAGGAGGAGAGCGCUGGAGAUUGUUCAGGAGGAAUUCCACCCGGCUCUGGGGCGUGCGUCCGACAAGCCCCUAGGGGGAGAAAGGAGAAGGGUGAAGGCCGGGCUAGUAGUCGCUGCCCGCUGGGCAGCAUCUGGAGGCCCGUGCGGGAUGCAGGCGAGGGGGAUGGAGCGGCGCCGCUGGAGGAAAUUGGCUUCCCAUGGGACCUGCAACUGUCUGGAAACAAAAAAAGAAGCCUACCAAAAGGGGAAAUUUAAAGGAGAGCAAGAAACCAUGAAGAGAGAGCCGAAAACGCGAAAGUAAAGAGUUGCCCAACUUA